GCGGGAGUAGCUCAAUGGUUAGAGUCCUCGUUCAUGAUUAAGUUCAGACGGGGUGUUGCGGGUUCGAGUCCCGCUUCCCGCU
rnacentral:tRNA from 1 species